GCCAGGUCGGGUGGGGUAGGCAGCUUCGGAACUGAGUCACUCUCCUCCGGAAAGCGAGGACAGUGCAGGAAGUGGAGUUCCAUGGCCAGCUGCCUCCUUGGGAAGAGUGGGAGGGGAGCAGUGGCUGCGUAAGGGCGUGGUCCUCUCCAGGGAGCCCUGCUGUGGCUCCCAGAGGCCCACUGAGCCCCAGGCCCCCAGGCCCCAGCUGCUUCUCAGGCCCUCCCUGCAGGCUCCCUCCUGACCACCCGCUGUCCCCCAGCACAGCAGGACCCACCACUCCUCAUGCUGGCCGCAGCUCCCACGUCCCCUGUCCCAGAGGCUGGGGCGACCUUGGCUCACAGCCCCGCAGGCCACCCCUGUAGGCAGGAGAACCCUACUCCCUGCUGGCCCUGACCUCUGAGAGGGUCAGAGCUGGGAUCAAAUCACCAGAUCGAGCAGCGAAAUACAUCGGAAGGGUCUGAAAGUCACUUUCACCCAGCCCAACCUUGAGCAACGAUGGCCACGCCGUGUUCCAGAGACAGAGAAGGCUGAGACGGUUGAGCAGUGGCAUGGGAUAGCACUGUAACGCUUUAUUUGAAAAGACAACAACAACUUGCAUUCCAUUUGGUUUUCAUUGGAAGGAAUCGCUGAAUUCCAAGUGUUUCAUCAGGAUGGAAGCCGGUGGUUCCUGAAAGUCUCCCUUGAAGAAGUAAAAGGGCUUGGAAGACCCCACAGCGGGCAGGUGGCCGGCACCUCGGUCCUGGGUGGACGUCAGACCCUCUCUGGCUUCCUCGUCUCCCUCUGCUUUCUGGAUGAGCGGCCUGAAUGGUCACACUGGAAGACCUCUCACCACGCCCGCUGAUCCUGGAGCGGCACCCGGCCCAGGCAGAGUGUGUGCUUUGUCUCCAGGAAGCAAGCAGGACUUCCUGCCAACAGCCCCCAGACCAGGGCCUGCCCAGCCACCCUGGACCCGCAGGCUCUGGGCCCCAGCCAGCACCCUGUCCUGAACAGUGGAGUGUUAUUUGCCCCCCACUCUGCAUCUGGCUCCUGGGCUUGGCGUCAGGCCCAAGAGGGUGGCCCUGGCUGUGGGGCACCAAACCUGCCUUGCUCACCAUCUAUAGCCCUCGGGCACACUAGUGGCUUCCAGCUGUGGCUUCUGUGUGGCCCUGGCCCUUCUAGCACUGGGAUGCAUUGUUCGAGUGGAGGUGCACUCUGAGGCAUGUGUUGCUAGGCAACAUCAUCAUCCUGUGAGCAUCACCGAGUGCUUACACAAAUUAAGAGCACGGUGACCUUGCUAGGUGACCGGGUUUAUGGGAUCACAGUGACACCUGUGGCCCAUCGUUGACGAGCUGUUGCCAUGGAGCACAAGGCGCAGUGCUGGUGAACAUCUGUGCACGUUUCUGUUGGGCAGGUUGUGGGUUAAUAGGCACCAGCCACCGCUCCCACCCCUGCUGAACUGGCUCUCGAUGCUGCUAGCGCCCUCAGGAGCUCUGCACCGUGCUGACAGUCGGGAGUUUUACCUCCUCAUGUUGACCUGUCUCGGGCUGUGUGACCUGGUGGGUCCCACGAUGGCGACUGAGCUGGGCACCUUUCCGUGUGCUCACUGGCACUGGGCAGUGAGGCGUCCCCAGGCUUGCGCCUGCUUUCCAAGGUGUCAUCACCCCUGCUGUGGGCUUGUGGGGCCCAGGUACACUGCACGUGCACCAGUCCUUUGAGCUCUGCUGCUGAGUGUGCGGCAGACACCCGCCUUCUGCUGUGGUCAUCGUUAUGUGAAGUCUCACACAUACCUAACCUCUCCAGGAUAUUGCAGAUUCUCUCGGCACAUCUGUGAGCCGUGAGGCUCACCAGGCUCAUCCUUCCUGGUGUUCUUUAGGUGCUCUCCGCACUCAGCUUUGCAUCUGGGAUCGUUUCCUUUUGCCUACUUGCUUCUCUUUCAGCCUUCCUUUCAGUCUAGAGCUAUCCGAGAUGGGUUCCUCUGUUUUUUUGCUUGUCUGUAAAGUCUUUGUUUCACUUUCAUCUUGAAGGAUACUUUUGCUGGGCUCAGUACAGUAUUCCGGUUGCUGUAUUCAUUUGCUUUGUCCUCUGGCUCCCGCCAGCCGCUUCUGCUGGCUGUUGGCCACCUCUUGCUGUUCCCUGCACGUCUGCGGAUUUGGGGACUACAGGAUGGACCAGGAGUCAAGGAGGUCAUUUGUGAUCUCGGGAAUGUUCCAACUAAGAGAAAAACCCUCGAGGGUGUACAACUCAGAAGAGUGUGGCGGUGCACACCUGGUAUCUCAGCUACUGGGAAGGCUGAGGCAGGAAGGUGGUAAGUGAGCUCAUCCUGAGCAAUUAGUGAGAUCCUGUCUCAAAAUAAAAAACCAGAAAGGGGUGAGGAGGUGACUCAGUGGCAGAGCAGCCCCGAGUCCAACCCUCAGCACUGCAAAAACAAAACAAAACAAAGAAAAUUCCAAGGUAAGGGCUCUUGAGGGUGACUUGCUACUUCCUUGCCGAGGGUCUGCCCUUUCCAGGCAAUAGGCUGGGAGGCGAUCACAGACCUAGGCUGCAGGAGAUGCCCCAGGGAGACGGAAUUUCCAACGGCAGGUGCCGGCAUGUGGGAAAACAGCUGGGUGAUUCAGCCAACUGGGGGCCUCUCAGCCACUGCCUGCGCUGGCCCUGCUGUUAGGGAGCCGUGGGCCGGAUGGGGCGGAGUGCCCAUGAGAGCCCUCCCAGUGCCUCUGCUGUGCGGAGCAGCUGAGGGACCACAGUACCUGCCGGCACGGCCAUGCCACGGGCCUGCACCACAGGCUGCACAGCUGCUGCCCAGGCCUGACCAAGCACAGACUUCCAGCCUCCACAGCUGUGAGCUCAGUGAAACCCUUUGGGCUUCCAGCAGGAGAGAGAUCCUCACUCCAGACAGGGCCGAACCUCCGGGUCCUGAGGAAGGUCACAAGGCAGCAGAGAAGUGACCCCAAAUGACGAGUGCAAAGCUCGGUCCUGCAAAUACAGAGGGAUGCACAGCUCAGCACAGUCCUUGUCACGCACGUGUGCAUGUGUGUGAGUGUGCACAGGGAAAUCAGUGGAUGCAACCAAGCAGCCAAGGCGGCUUGGGAAGGGGUGAGGGGAGGGG
ensembl:lncRNA